rnacentral:lncRNA from 1 species
CGCAGCUGUUGUUUUAAAAAAGGCAGCCCAGGCACCCAGACGGAACAAUACAGGCACCCUUAACAUGUCAUUCCUGUUGAAAGCCAAGGAAGCCCACGCGCAUACCCAGGCCUUGAUCUCAACUAACAUGAAGCUGAGGACUUCAACCAGGC